rnacentral:misc_RNA from 1 species
AAACUAAUCAUGGCGCCCCCCACAAAUAGUAACAAAUGCUCUUCAGAUUCAUUCAUACAGUCAAGCUUGACGAAAAAAAUAUUAUUUUCGUACAUACCCUUGGCAGGAGCAGCUAGCUACCAAGCAUUCUCUCUCAAUGUAGUGAAUCCAAAGUUUCUCAAGAGCGUCUUUCCCAACUGGCACUUUGGCGUGACGAAUGCGCUACUGCUGAACGCACAUCUCGGCGUGGGCCUGUACCUGUUCAGCCGGCCACACAUGGCAUGCUCCACACACGCGAUGUGCCCGCGCGUCGCAUACAGUGUCUUCGGAGCUGUCAUGUUCAACUUCGGCUCGGUGCUGCUGUGGGCGACGGCGAAGACAGUGGUGCCACCUUGCACGACCGCGAGGGCGCUCUUUGCUCUCGGAUCUGGUGCGGGACUGCUCUGGGUCGGCUAUCGAUACGUGAAGAUGCUGGAUGAGAAUGCAACGCGAGACGUCUGAGACGCUCUGAGACGCGGCUGGCUGCGCCGUCUCCGCUGCAGGGUGAGACGGAUUUGUCGGCGCUCCAGAAUGGACGUCGGUAGAUCUAAGUGCCGUCGGUUUGUGGUCGAUCGCUAGUUGCAAUCUAGUACCACUUGUACUCAGUACUUCCCCUUGUUCGUUUUUUAUCCUCCUUUUCAUCCUCCUCCUCCUCCUCUUUCUCCUCCUCCUCAUCUUCCUCCUUCCCUUCCUUCUUCUCCUCCUUCUCAUUCCUAUUCUCCUUUUCCUUUGUUUUCUCUUUCUUAUUUAUCUUGUUUUUCUUUUUCUUGAGCAUACCUACCGACGUUGACUCAUGAAGUGCAGGAACUAUAGCAUUGCAUGGCUUUGGAAGGAGCACUUUGGUAGAACACAGAAGGCCAUUUACUGUUUGGAAAGGUUGUGAGAUCGCAACACGGCGUGCACCAAAAUAAUACCAGUUCAGUGUAAGUGGUAUGAGGAGUAGAGUUACGUAGGAAUGCAUCGUUGGAAACAUCAAUCGUAUUUUUGCCAUUGUUCACAUCACAUGCCGGUGGGACAUUCUUUCUUAAUGAUGUAUUUUGUUACUUGAAAGCUGGAAAUUUAGCCGGGGUUACUGACAGAUGCAGGUGAGAGAUUUCUGGCAUGGGUUUUUAAGUGCAAUCGAUAAAAAUGUUAUGAUAUUAUUGAUAAGCCACUUUGACCACGUAUUGUCUCUGCAACUUUGGGGACAUCUUGAAAAGCAACACUUUCUUAAACAUUCUCUAGUUAAAACUAGUUAUGAUAAUCUUUACUAUUUGUUGAAACACCUGGUGUUAUCUGCCUAAUUUCAUAUGAACUAGAAUGGCUUUUGAAAUUAUAUUACUGCGUUUAGACAAUAAAAGGUCUUUUUAACUUGAAAA